rnacentral:rRNA from 1 species
GAUCNUGGNUCAGAACGAACGCUGGCGGCAGGCUUAACACAUGCAAGUCGAGCGUGUAGCAAUACGAGCGGCAGACGGGUGAGUAACGCNUGGGAACAUACCCUUUUCUACGGAAUAACGCAGGGAAACUUGUGCUAAUACCGUAUGAGCCCUUCGGGGGAAAGAUUUAUCGGGAAAGGAUUGGCCCGCGUUGGAUUAGNUAGUUGGUGGGGUAAAGGCNUACCAAGGCGACGAUCCAUAGCUGGUCUGAGAGGAUGAUCAGCCACAUUGGGANUGAGACACGGCCCAAACUCCUACGGGAGGCAGCAGUGGGGAAUAUUGGACAAUGGGCGCAAGCCUGAUCCAGCCAUGCCGCGUGAGUGAUGAAGGCCCUAGGGUUGUAAAGCUCUUUCACCGGAGAAGAUAAUGACGGUAUCCGGAGAA